AGCUGUGCUGUGGUGGCAACACUGUUUUGACGUUGUUGCUUUCGUCAAUUUCUAUUUUCUUUGUCUUUGCUUUAUGCCAAUUCUAUUGUUGUUUUUUGUUUUGAUUUUGAAUUUUCUUGUUUUUUUUAUUUUUAUUUUUGUUUGAGUUUUGCUUUGCUUACGUAUUUCGUAAGCAAUUGCUGCAAAUCAGCUGUGCGAAGAGUAUGUGGUGUGGAUGUUUGAGAAAAGAAGAGUGUAUUUGAAAAGAGUGGGUUUGAAAAUUUUUGGUUUUUAUUACUUUACAUUUUGAAUUUAAUUUUUGAUUUUUUUUUUUUUAAUUUCAAUUAAUUUUUUUUCACGUAGACGCAGCUGUAUAUAUUUGAUAUGCAUAUUACUUAUAGAAAUGUAUGUAUACAAUCGCACAAUCAAUCAUUUUCAUCUGAUAUGAAAUGUAAAAUUUGUUUAGAAAAUUCUAAAAAUAAAUACAAAUUAAAGGCAAUUUCUUAAUAUCCAAAUCUGUGUGACUAUAAACACGUUGCUGUGAUCAGUGAAGCGUUGAAAUCACAAAUCAAAUGGAAUACAAAUUUUAGCAAGCAACAAUGUACGAGUAUUGGUGAAUUCUUUGGAAGCCGCACAGUUGGACCGGCACCUCAAGUAAAUCGAAAGAAAAAAUUCUAAAAAUAAAUCGUGUUUUUGGCGAAAUGAAAUAAGAGUGUUGACGUGGAAAAUCUUAAAAUUAAACUUUACAAUUCGUUUCAAAUGAGAUUAACAAUGCUCCCAAAUAUUGGAUAACCUCAAAAUGCAGAGAAUACAAGUAGAAGCUCUUCAAAAAAGGUUUCUUUUAUAAAUAUAUAUAUAAACAUAAGCCGACAAGUUCUUGAACAUUAUUAAUUAUGUACGAAAGUGAAAUAGAAAUUAUAUAAGAGCAAAAGUUGGUGAGAUUACUAGAAAUAUAUAUGUAUAAAUAUCGAAAAAUCCAUUUACGUCUUAGCAUUUCAAUUCUCCCCAUUUAUUGCCGCGCCAGCUGUCGUUGCUAAUUUGUUUAUAUAUUAAUUUAACAUGUAAUCGCGAAAUUCUUUAUAAAUACAUAUAUAUAUAUAUAUGUUUGCACAUUUGUAUUUAUAUUUUUAAAUGUAUUUGCUUUCUUCAAUUACUUUGUGUAUACUUCCAGGGAACACAACUUCCAUAUCAAUUGUUACAACACCCUUUCGUGUCGACUUAUCGCAAAUUACUGAAAUUCAUUAAGUCGACAGUCUGAGUGUUGUUGUAUUGUGAUUUUGUGCGAACCAGCGACAGUUGUUGGCAUUGUAAUGGCUGAUAGCUAGUUCAUGCCACGUGGCCAGGCAGUUAUGUAAAACUGUUGGCAUAGUUUGUGUGUAUAUUUGUAUUAUUAAUUUUUAAUUAUACUGUUCGAAUGAAAGUGCUGCUGCUCAGUCAAUUUGAACAAUCUGUUUAAUUACAUCAGUCAUAAUGGAUUCUUACAUUACGAUUCUUACAUUCACUCGUACAUUUAUUAUUGAUUUUCUGGUUAUUAUUGUAUACAAUUUUAUAGAAAGAUAAAAAUCAGUUUGAAAAGUGCGCACAAAGCUUAUAGCUUGUUGUAAAGGUCAAAGGUCGAAUUUUUUAGUGAAUAUAAAAUGAACUUUCGCUUAAAUUUUUAAUUGAAUAUCGGUCAAUCUAGCAUAGUAUUAUGACUUUAGAACUUAACUGUAAAAUUUAUUCAUUGCUUUUAUUUAUUUAUUUCAAAUUGUUCAAAAAGAGCACUGGCAAAUAUGCAAAAAAUCUCUCAGUCAAAAUAAUUAUUUUUUUUUUAAUAUUUUUGCGGUUUUUUAACUUUUCUAAUUUGAAAGCAACAUUUUUUUUUAUGAAAAAUGUUUCAUUUCAUUUUAUUUUGUUUUAUUUUAUUUUAUUUAAUUAAUUUUAAUUUUUUAUUUUAUUUAAUUUUAUUUUAUUUUAUUUUAUUUAAUUUAAUUAAUUUAAUUUAAUUUAAUUUUAUUUAAUUUUAUUUUAUUUAAUUUAAUUAAUUUUAUUUAAUUUUAUUUUAUUUCAUUUCAUUUCAUUUCAACGACGAGCUGUGAAUAACCAAACAAUUACCUACAUCGUUACAUACAGCAUGAAUUUCAAAUUAAAAAUAACAAUUGUGCUGCAUACAAGUCACGUCACCAUUUGACUUUUCACAACGUCCACAAUUCUUUUUUUAACAGAGCCACGUGAAAUUUACAGACCACCUCAUUGAUCGAUUCAUUAACAAGUUGUGGCGUUUAGACGUAUUUAUUUCAUAGAAAGAGACAACAACAUAUACGAUGAACACACCUCGUAUAUAUAACGAGAAUUUUGAAAUGUCUAAUUGUAAAAAGAAUGUCUCCUAAAUACUAUUUUUUCCUAUUUCCAAAAAUAAAGAGAACCUAAAUGGGGCCGUCAUUCUAUAAGCAUACGAGAAAUCGCUAAAAGAGUCUAAGGCUUUUCCAAAAAUCGAGUUUGAGAAGAGUUUCGAUGAUUGGAAGAUAUCGAAUGGGGACUAUUUUGAAGGAGACAACAUAAAUGUAGACGAAUGAAUACAUUUUUUUUUUCAAAAAAACGAAAAUUCCCGUUAUUUUUUGUACACACCUCAUAUUUAUAUGUAUUCGUUGAAAUGUUUGCUAUAAAUAUUACAAAUUUACAAAAUUGAGAACACUCGUGCGGCUAUUUAAGUACUUACUUUCCUAUAGCGUCAGCAGAUUUGUGGUAAAAUUAAAGAACGACUAAAGCGGGCAGAGAGAGGCCCAUGUAACGGCACGUUGUCUCGGAUAACCAAAGAGUCAAUAAAAAAAAGCGAUAAGUGCUAAGGUAAGCGCUGAGGUACUAGAAGAACAAGUGUAAAAAGUACAAAAUAAAAGUAAAAAUAAAAACAAAAUCAUAAAAAAGAAAAGCAAAAAUAUGUACAAAAGAAUCUUAACUGAGAGUUGGUACGCAAUGGCAUGUCAAACAAUGCCGUUAAAGGUAAAUGACUUUAGCUGACAUUUCUGUUUCCUACCCUGCUGUUUUCCUACCCUGCUACGCGCUUUAUUAUUUAUUUAUUUUAUAAAUUGUUUAGCGCAUUUUUGUUUAUUUUUAGCAGCAUAAUAGCUUGGAUUAUAUAUGUAUAUGUAAGUAUAUAAUCUUGGUGCCCUGCGUCGGUAACCCGCGUUGAUAUGUUUUGUUCAUAAAUCUUGCUAAAUUGGCGAAAAAUCUCUGCAUGAAAGCCAAAGUAGUUGACACAGGCCAACCAAAAAAAGCCAGCAUUCCUGACGAAAUUUAUAUGUAAACGCAGAAACGAUUACAAUGGUAAAGGUGUUUGAGACAACAACAACUCACCGCCUUUACAUUGGUUAUAGAAAUAUGAAGUCUCAGCAUUGUUGCCACACACAUACAUUUGUAUAUACACUUACCACCAUUCACACCAUUUUGUAAUUUAGGUCAAGCUACAAAUGACUAAUCUCUGUUGAGUUCCAGUGAAUAAGCGCUUUAAGCUAUAAGUCUUUCAAGCGAAGCGCGAGUCAAAAUUUCGAUGACAAAUCAGAAAGCCCUUACGCAUGAGUUUACGCAUAAUUUUGUGGUGUGUAUUUAGUCACGCCUGGUUAUUUUAGUUACAAUUAUUAUGGCACUACUUACGUCAAAGUUUUCAGAAGGAGUUUCAAAAGCAGAAUCACUAGUUCAAAGAAGAAAAAAGUACAGACAAUUUUCUGGAUUCUCUUAUCUCUUUUAUUUAAAAUAGAGAUUAUUUCAGCUUUCCAUUCAUCUCACGUUGCACCGUCUCUCGACCUCGAGCUUUUGCUGAGUUUUUUCGAAGAGUUCUCAGUAUAAUUUUUAGAACUUCAGAAAUAAUGGGGAACCAAUGUUCAUUAAGUGAUUUCCAUUAUAUUCAAAUGAAUUUCGAGUAAAAGUAUAUAUUAUAAGUCUUCAUACUGGCUAAAGCUCAACCUACACCAUCUUGUCUGAUACGACAACAGCCCAUAGCUUCAAAGGAACAAUAUCCAUGACUUCCAUUUUAGUGCAGCAAUAUCUUUAAAUUCUGGAUAACUAAUGGGUUCAUAAGUUUUUAGAACAAAUUGAAAACAAACCCUCAGCAAAACAAUUUUUUGAAUCUAUUAAAGUCUGAUUUUUUUAGGAAAAUAUGGGUGUAUUAUAUACUAGGAAUUUUUUACUUCAAUACAAAAUAAAUAAAUUAUAGGCCUUCUUGCUGGUUAAGGCUCAACCCACAUCGGAUUAGUCAAGACAUCUUUUCUUGUCUGAUAUGACAACAGCCCAUAGCUUCAUAUGUCACAACGAACAAGACGAGUGUUAUGCGAGAGCAAAAUACGUGUUUGUGCCUUAUUAGUCAUAGACUUUUUUGAUUAAUCCAGUGUGUGUUGGCCUAAGGGUACUGAUUCCACGUCUUAAGUGCCAUGAUUAAUGAAUCGAAGAACUUGUAGAACGAUUUGAUCGGCUUUUAAAUCGUGAUUUUUUUUAGAAAAUAUGGGUGCAUAAAAUUCUCGGAACUAACAUUCUUUUUUAUUUAAUACAAUCUAUAAUCCAUUUCGCUCAAUAAAAAGGUAUACAAAAUGAAAUUGAGUUCUUUCUAAAAUUUUGCGACUUGUCAUGUCUAUUUCAUUUUAGUUGCCGUGUUCAUCAACGCUUUUCAAUUAAUUCUGAUUCAUUUCUGUAGACAUUUCGCAAGAAUUUCACUUGAAUUGUCAACCCAAAGCAACUGAUAAGCGCACCACGUUUAUUUGCAGUAAAUGCUGAUAGUGGCUCUAUCAAUAGUUACUAUUUGUCACUUGGCGAGCACUUUAAAAUGCAAAUAGCACACGAAUAGCAAUUGUUGGAAAUAAAAAGUAUAAACUUAAAUGUGGUUAUUUAUAUAGUAAAGGCUAUUUAUAAAGUGUGCGUACGUUUCUUGAUAAAAGACCGAAUGAUCUUGAUAAAAUAUUUGCUUAAUACUCAAGUUUGAAAAUUAAAAUAAUGAAAUCGACUGUCAAAAUGUCACUUUAAAGCAUUAAAUGAUAAUAUUCAUCUGGAUUUUAGAUUAAUUAGCGAUGUUAAAAAAAUAUAGACAAAAUAAAUAUAAUAAUCAGAAUUCUAAUUAUGAAAUAACGACGCGAUAAUUUCAAUACACCUAAUAGUAGGUUCAUGACAUUCGUCGAACACAAACUACUACUACAACAACAAAGAAUUUGGAAUCGCAACACGUGUUUUAGGCUGAGCACAGUGUAUAGUGGGAUGAAUUGUAUGGAAGUAUGGAAUCUUCGAGAGAUUUUGGGUAGUUCAAUUGCGAAGUACGUGUAAUAUUUUGGAUUAUCUGGGUGAUAACGGUUUGAAUCUGUUCCGAACUGUUAUGAAAUUUUUUCCAGCAUGAUCUCAUGGAUCAAAUGGAAUGGAAUGUUUUUGUGAACCCAAUGGAGAGUUUUAAAGUUUAUUUUAACGACUAAAGAAGGAAAGAUGAGUGUCUCAUAUUCAAUUCAUCAGUCGAAUCUCUUUGUUGAGAUCACACCUCCUUCCUUCACUUCUGGAAUCAAAAUUCGAAACUAGAAAAUAUAAAGAUAACCCAAUUAUCUAAUCUCUCGCAUGCGAAAGUUAUAAUUUCAAACACACAAAAGAAAACCCGAAAACUAAGCAAAUAAAUAAAAGAAAGCAUUCAUUGUUUACAAAAUGCGGCAAAAAUCAACACCCACACAAAGCAAAUCUAUUACUGACACACAAAAACAUACAGACAAUGGCAGCGAAGAGUAAAUAGAGAUAUGAAUGUAUGUAUGACACCGUCCUAUUAUAAAAUAUGGCACACAAACGCCAUGAAAGAUGCCAAGGAAAAGUGAAAAACAGCGCCGCAGAGCCAACGAAUGAUCGAAUGAAGACAAUUGAGCGGACCACAAAGGGUAAUAUAAAUUUUGUUGCUGUUGUGGUUGUUGGUUUUUGGCUUGUUGGUCGAAACAAUGGCAAAUUCGCUUUCAUUUAAUAAGACUUUAUUAUGUACAUUUAUAAUAUAAAAUAAAAGGGGCGUUUUGCUUCAUAUAAUUUAUAGACCUCAUUAUUUCAUGAAAUAUUUGUUGUUUAAUUAAUUUAAUUAGGUUGUCAUUUUUUUAGUUACUGUAUUUAAAAUUUCACAUUUUAAUAAAUUUAUAUUCUUUUUUCUUUACUUUACCAAUUUUACUUUGACAUUACACCACAAUUUUUCGCCUAAAAGUAUGCAAAUUAAAAAUUGUUGCCUACAUUUAGGAGAAAUGUUAAAUAACAAUAAUACUAAAGGCAAGGUAUUUCAAGUUUUUUUACUUUAAAUAUAUUUUGAUAUAAAUAUGGAUCACAUUACCAGAGCUCUUAUUAUGAAACCCAAAAAGGUAUGUAAUUUUUAAAGAAUUCCCUUUAAGUUGGUAUUUGUAUGUAUACAUUUUUUAAUUAUUAUGAUAUGUGUCUCAUUUCUUUUAUUAAAUAUAUAACAGAAUAUAAUUAUUAUCAAAACACAUAGUCGCAACUGGAAAAUGCUUUCCUCUCAUAAACAAUUAACCUCACAUAUACUUUGUGACAUUAUUAGAGCAGAACUGCAGAAAAGGCCAUCCAAAUGACAGACAGGUGCGGAACUCAUGGCGAGGUUUAUUAAAACAACCAAUGAGCACGAUUCGGUAUACAGUAGAAAUGAAAAGUAAUGGUACUUCGAUAUUAACAAUUAACAAAAUUAGAGACAGUUGAAACCGGAAACAUCUUAAGUCAACGAUUUUGAGAUCGAGUGUAGGUAACUGAUGACAGAUAAAAUAACCACUUUCAAAAGAUUUGCUUCUAAUUUUUCGGAAUAUAUUUACUAGUGAACUUUUCCAUUCGCAAUCACGUGCCCAAUGUACAACAUUUCAUUAGUUAAAAUUAUUUAUUAUGCCCUGAAAAGGAUAUAUUAAGUUUGUCACGAAGUUUGUAACACCCAGAAGGAAGCGUCGAAGAUGUUAUUUUCUCUUCAAGAAGCUGCUCAUUUGUCGGAACUGCCGAUAUCGGACCACUAUAUCAUAUAGCUGCCAUACAAACUGAACGUUCGGAAUCAAGGGCUUGUAUGGAAAACUUCCGCAUUUUACUACAUAUCUUCAUGAAAUUUGGUGUGAGUUAUUGUUCAUAGAAAUAAUUUAAUCUACGAAAAUUUCAGAUCGGUUCACUAUAGCAUAUAACUGCCAUACAAAUCGGACGAUCGGAAUCAAUGGCUUGUAUGGAAAACUUCCGCAUUUUACUACAUACCUUCACGAAAUUUGGUGUGAGUUAUUGCUCAUAGAAAUAAUUUAAUCUACGAAAAAAUUGUUCAGAUCGGUCCACUAUAGCAUAUAGCUUCCAUACAAACUGAACGAUCGGAAUCAAGGGCUUGUAUGGAAAACUUCCGUAUUUUACUACAUAUCUUCACGAAAUUUGGUGUGAGUUAUUGUUCAUAGAAAUAAUUUAAUCUCCGAAAAAAUUGUUCAGAUCGGUUCACUAUAGCAUAUAGCUGUCAUACAAAUCGAACGAUCGGAAUCAAGGGCUUGUAUGGAAAAUUUUCGCAUGUGACGUGGUAUCUUCACGAAAUUUGGUGUGAGCUAUUGUUCAUAGAAAUAAUUUAAUCUCUGAAAAAAUUGUUCAGAUCGGUUCACUAUAGCAUAUAGCUGCCAUACAAACUGAACGUUCGGAAUCACUGGCUUAUAUGGAAAAUUUUCGCAUUUGACGUGGUAUCUUCACGAAAUUUGACAUGGAUUACUGCUUAAGGAAAUAAUAUAAUUUUUUUUUUAUAUCAUCAUUCUUUUUAAAUUCACUGUAUAAUUUUGCAAACAAGUGCAUUGCAUCUAACGCCUCGGCGGAGACAUUCUCUGAAGUGUUGCACAGUUUCUUUUUACCGUGGGCUGCUGCAUAAAAAUUUAUUAAUGUGCGCAAGUAGACACAUACACACAUAUUUAUACGAACAUAUAUGUACAAGUAUAUAAUAAGUACAUGUGCUGUCACUAUAUAAUGUGUUUUAUGUCAACAGCAAAACAAAAGACAAUGAAAACAAUUCACUUGAAGGCAACAACAUGCCCAUUUAUACUUAUUUUGCACACAACUGUAUGUUUUUAUGAAAAAAAAUAUGAGAGAAAAGAAAAAGAAAUAAAAAGGUGGGAAAUAAAAAAAAAAAAAAACAAAAUAAAGCAAUAAUAAUAAAAACAAAUACAGAAAGUGGCAGAGCAAUUUAAGGUUAUGGCUGGUUUUUUCUAUAGAAGGUCUAUGCAAGCAAGAAGCUUUGUCUAUCAUAACGUCCGAACCAAACAGUUUUCAAGUUUUGAGAUUUAAUAUAUGUAUAACUACUAAAGACCUCUUUCCAAGUCGACGGCAUUCUUUGAACCAUUUCGGUCCCAUCAUUCGCUGGUUCACCGUAUGUUUUAAUGAUUAUUUUAGCACCCGUAAUUGAAGAGAACCCAUUGCAGCCUUAGCUUUUCGACCAGUUAUCAAUCGUUGUUGUGCCAACUUCGUUUAUAAUCACUAUGGUUUCUUCAAACUGAAGACUUUUAAGGCUCCACUUUGAUACACCGUUCUACUACUAUUGCAUCAGACAAUAUUUCUAUGGCUCGACAAACGAUCUCAUAGAGAUUUUUUUUUAUAAAUCAGAAUUUCAAUAUUUCUACUAAACUUCAAUAGGAAUAUACAUAUGUAUACCCUAAGAAGGGUAGACAAAUACUGUUCCAAGGUAUCAUAUGGUAUUUACAAUCGUUCUCGACUUUAAGGUCUUAAUAAAGUAUAUUAACUAACUAUUGUUCGUCUGGGUUUUAAAGAAGAAAGAAAUCCCGAAAGUAUCUCUAAUCUGAAGAUUUUUUCGGAUAUAAAAUAAAGUCUCGAAAUCUCGUAAAUAAAUAGUGAGGUUUUGGAAGAUCAUCUAUUAUCAUUAAAUGAGAUCAGUACCCUAAUGAUCUUAAAUUCCGGAGAGACAACAAGACAUUGGGAUGAUAGAACGCUAUCAAAAAAAAAGGAACUUUCCUUAAGUUUUUUAAAUAUUAAACCGAGCUCUAGUAGCCUUUACACACAGUGAAAACCACUAUAUAAUUUAAUAUGCGGAAAAGUGUAGGUGGGUAAUGAGUGUUAUGUGCUGUACUCAACUAACCGAGAUAACUAAGUAGUACACACAUACACGGGCAUAUACACAGUCAUACCAGUGGCAGCUAGACAGAUAGUUGUUGCCACAGACGCAAUGGCUGAUGAGUGGCAGCUGUGUAGUAGUAGUGUGGCAUACAAGAGGCCAACAACGUGAAUGACAGUGUUUGACAAGGUUCAUAAGGUGUAAAGGAUGUGACGACCAAAGGCGUGAACCACAUUUUAGCGCUAUACUAACCUACUGAUGCGGUAGUCACUUAACAAACAGUUGUUAUUGUUGUUGCAGUUGAAAGUGAAAAACAAAAAGAAAAAACAAAAACAAAAACAUGAAAUGUUUAUUUAAACUUGGCGCCUGUCACUCAUUAGCAAGAAAAAUAUAUGGACGCGGGUGUGGGUUGCAUACAAACAGACAUGUGGCGGAGCAGCUCUUUUAGCCCCACGAGCGUGUGUUGGCAAUUUGUUUGGGUGUGCGACGGCGUUAAGUAGGCGUUGAAGUGCGCGUGUACUCGUACUCUGCCUUGACAUUUUAUUUUCUAUGAUGGAAAAAAAGUGUUGAAAAAUAAAAAGUACAAUAACUGAAGUGGCAACCAUCGCAGCCAGCUUCCUGUUUGGCUAAACAAAUUAAAUGGGUUUAAAAAUGGCUAAAACCUUCUGGAAUGUAAACUAAUUGGAACUAUGUAAAACAAAGAGAGUUCGUACAACCACGGAAGGAAAAAUAAGCUCGUUGAUAAUGGAUUAUUCAAAUUGACGGACUCAGUCGGAUUUUAAUAGUAAGCAAAGUUCGUGAAAUCAGAACCUGCUGAAAACCAGAAUAAAAUCAAUAAAAUCCAUUAAUCUUAUAGGUAAGGUUAAAGGUUUAGAUCCCCGCAAAUACAGAGAAUCUUACUGAGACAGAUUAGACUGUCCAUUGUGACAACCGUAAAAACUCCUAACGGAUCAGUAAGAUCCGUAUGUUGCGAUGAAGCGCUUGGACUCAAUAAUAAAGUUCUUAAGUCGGCUAAUGUCGAUUCCAGUCACUUGUGUUUUAACCAAAGUCUGGCGAAUGCUGGACAUUGUAGGAGGAAGAGCUUGGACGAUUCCUCUUCGCCUUUCUCCAAACAGCUUUGACAACUAGCGUCUGAUAUGAUCCCUAGCCUCACCGCGUGUGUGCCUAUUGGACAAUGCCCAGCAAGCACUCCAAUGAUCGCGGAGAGAUGAUCCUUACUGAGCGACAGUAGCUCCAUCGAUUAGUCUUAUAGAUGUGAUUAAAAAAAUCGUAUAUGUAUUUAUUUCUGACAACUCAAAGAUGUCUAGAAUCUUAUAUCCUGAUCUUUAGAAAAUUCUAUAUUUAUAAAAAAGUUCUCGAGUCAUCCCAAUAAACUAAAAGUCAUGGUUUGCUAAGUAAAAGUAUCUUGUAAAUAAAUUAAUUAAUUCCUUUCGAAUGGUAUGAGCUUCAGAAAUCUUGGAAGAAGAGACUCCAGUAUAUACUAUCUCAAUUAAGAACUGAUCUUUAAUAUAAAUAAUAGCCGCACAUGAUAUCAUAUUAUGUCAAGAACAAUAUGACUGAACUAUUUUAAAAACAUUAUGUUGAUAAAGAUGUAUCCGGUGAAAGAAAGGGAUGACAUAAUCUCUAAGAUCGAGCAUAGAAGUUAAUACCUAAAAUUUAGAACUAAAUGAGAGCUAAAAAUUAACAAUUUUUUCAUGAAAAAGUAUUUGAGUUUCAACAGUUUAGAAACUUAUAGAUUAUAAAGACAAACCUAGGGAAUUCCCGAUACAAAGAACACAUUUAAAUUCUAUCUGAAACUGUUCUUGAACAAUGAGUCUACUAUGAAUCAUUAAUAGUCAUAAAAGACAUGACAAGUCAUAACCAUUGUACUCACACUUCAUUUGAACUUUCUUUGCCUUCUUCACAGUUCAAGCGAUGAUUUCAAAAAUCAAAAGAAAGGGUGAAACAAAAAGUCAUCGAUUGUUUGUGAGAAAACAACACUAAUCAUACAAAUGAACAAUAAGAUAGCAAAUUAUGGAAAACAAUGAAAGCAAAAACAAAAAAAAAAAACAAUGAAAACUAAAGAAAGUGACAAGAAAAAUUGCAACAUUGCAUGGAAAUUCUUAGUUAAGUGAGGCAUAAAGCAAGUGGAAAAUUCAAUUAGGCGUCCAACUGACAAUGCAUGGCAUGGUAUAUAGAGCUGCCUGCUGUCAAGUGCUAGAGUAGAGUAUAGUCAAGUGUAGGUGUACCGAGCAGAGUCUCAAGUGUAUUAAAUGCAAGUUUCCAGCGAAUGUACAGAGGUGGUUGCGUUAGGUGGCUUACAAAAGACGUCAAAAAAAAACUAAGUCACUAAAGGCGGCGCCAAUUGUGGCGGCGGCGGCGGCGGCGGCGGCGGCGGCAGCGACUAAACUAAAAUGAAAGGCAUUGAACUAAAAUAGCAAAAAGACAAGUGCGAGUGUUUCGUAACAAAAGGCAGGGCUUUAAGCUGCUUCAAUAUUUAUUUAGCCAAACAAAUAGAUAUAAAGUAAGUUACGCAAAAAAGGUAAAAAGGGUGCGUCACGCUGCAAUACAUAUGGAGAUAGUCAUAUGUGCUUCGAAAUGUUGGCACAUUAAUAUUUAAUGUUGCAAUAAAAUUUAAUGUUUAUGACCAACUGUUUGUUGCGUCAUAUCUGCUAAUUUAUUUAAAGGUGUGAGAUCAUUUCACACCACAAGUGACAAAAUCAAUAUUGCUUGGCUUAUUUGGCACUGAAACGCGGCUGAAGUUGGAGAAUUUUACUUUUGGUAAGUAGAAAUUAGUAAAAUACUUGAAAUAGAUGCCUACAAUUAGGCGCAAUGGCAAUUUGAGUGUAGCCACACACAUAAAGCGCCUCAACAAGUUUGAAAUGAAUGCUUUUUCUCAAAUUUUCUUUAAUCUUAACUUAAAUCUACAUUUAAAAUGUGAAUUUUAUAUAACCACCAUUACACCCACGGUCAUAAUCUUCAUUGCUAUAUCAUGGAAAUGUUUAUACAUCACAUUUAGCGUCGUUUUUAUAUUUCAACUGAGUGUGUGGGUAGUAUUCCUGAGAAUAGAGGAAACUAAAAAUGUAUUUCUGUGAUUAUAUAUUAACGACUUGUCGUAUGCCAUAAACACAUGUAAAUAUGUAGGCGAGUUGUAUGAAAAUAGCCCGCAGGGUGCUUAUUGACAUAAAUGAACUUAGUGUAGUACAAACACUUGUUAUUUUCAAUAUAAUUUUAUACCAGUUUUUAUACUAGUCUCUAACUUUUAUACCCGUUGUUGUUCGAUUCGCUUGAUUUUUAUACCCUGAACAGGGUAUAUUAAGUUUGUCACGAAGUUUGUAACACCCAGAAGGAAGCGUCGGAGGCCCUAUAAAGUAUAUGUAUAUAUAAAUGAUCAGUAUGUUGAACUGAGUCGAUUUAGCCAUGUCCGUCCGUCUGUCUGUAUAUAUACGAACUAGUCCCUUCAGUUUUUAAGAUAUCGUUUUGAAAUUUUGCAGAUGUUAUUCUCUUCUCUUCAAGCAGCUGCUCAUUUGUCAGAACUGCCGAUAUCGGACCACUAUAUCAUAUAGCUGCCAUACAAACUGAACGAUCGGAAUCAAGGGCUUGUAUGGAAAACUUCCGCAUUUUACUACAUAUCUUCACGAAAUUUGGUGUGAGUUAUUGUUCAUAGAAAUAAUUUAAUCUACGAAAAAAUUGUUCAGAUCGGUUCCACUAUAGCAUAUAGCUGCCAUACAAACCGAACGAUCGGAAUCAAGGGCUUGUAUGGAAAAUUUUCGCAUUUGACGUGGUAUCUUCACGAAAUUUUACAUGGAUUACUGCCUAAGGUAAUAAUAUAAUCUCCGAAGAAAUUGUUUAGAUCGGUUAACUAUAUAACCUUAAUGUUUCUAGCAAAAAACCCGGCUAAAAAGAAUUAGUAAAAUGUUUUCUUUUUUUUUACUUACUUUUUCUUACGUCUUUAGAUUUGCUUAAACACAUAGUUACUAAAAGAAAUGCACCUGUGAAGGGUAUAUUAGCUUCGAUACAGCCGAAGUUUUUUUUCUUGUUUUUAGUUAUUUCCGAGGUUUUCUCAUAUUCAAGGUGAAGGUGAGAUUUGGUUAAAGGGAGAUUUCUUGAUAUUUACGACGACAAAUAAACCCUCAACUCAUUCAUUCAACUCAUGGGUCCUAUAACGGCCUAAAAUAAAAAGGCUUAUAUUUCGAAUAUCAUAAAAGAAUAUUCUAGACUGAGAAAAUGCAAGAAUGUAAGAAUAGUUGCAUUCUGAGCUCUAAAACUAAGUGCUGGUUCAAAUCGAUCAUAAAGUUGGGUAUCACAGUGGUCCUUAGUAUAGAGUACUAAAUAUAUACCGUAUAUUUUCGAGUUCUUUUAAAUUUGGAGUAGUAUUAUACACGAUUUCUGAAUUCGUGUAUGUGCUGAGUAUUUUAUGGAAUUUAGAUUAGAUAGAUUUUUUAGUACCGAGUUACUCUGGAUUACCUUAAGAAUCGACUUCAAUAACACUUCUUACAAAAAUAAGCUAUUCUAUAACAAAGACUUCAAAGGCUCUGUCUUCGUGUCGAUUUUCGAUAUACCACCUUUUCCUUAACUAUUUAACUGUAAUUUUAAUCAAGCCAUAUAAUCUGAGACGUUUACAGAAACUUGACAUUACGAGCAAUAAAAUAAAUAGCAAGUAAGGAAUAACAAAUUUUACUCACGCGAAAUAAAGAUUUUUUCAUUAUUUCUCGUACUAUUUUACGAUUUGAGACAUGCGAAACUCGUCAUGCAACAAUUCAAUAAAGCGUCGUAGUUCACAAAAAGGGUGGCACCACUACGCCAAAGUAGCGUUAGACAAAUUUUUCGAAACUAUUUACAACUACAGUUUUGGUAUUUAGACGUCUACGGGCAAAGUUAGUAUCUGUAUCUAAAGGCAGCAAGUUCGGUUAUAGCGCUUGUUUGUGAGUGAAUUUUAUGGAUUUCUGCAUUUUGUUUGACAGUAAGUAUUGACUACAAUGCAGACACAACAACUUAGAAGGGUGUGUAUAUCCAGCGCCAGUUUAGCACUUUGACAUUAAGCAGCCAAUUGUUGGGGUCACAAAGGCGAAAAACACUUCGGGCAGUAAGGUCAAUGCGGCAGACACGAAAAUAAAUGAAACCGUAUACUAACUUUUGUUGUUGUUGUUGUUAAUACCUACGCGACACGUGCGUCGCUCUAAGCAAUGUUCGUAUGUCUUUUGUCAGCUGCAUUUCUUUGGUGUAUUUUUACUUGCACUUUUUUCAGAUUUUAUUUGGUUUCUGUAAACUUUUCUCUUCCUGUCGCAUCCGAAUCAGCGUAGCAGUGCAUUUUCUAGAAUUUUAAAGUUUAAAAUAAAUGCGCUGAACUAUUGAUUGUUACAUUGCUAUGUGUUCUGUGUGUGCUAUGUGUUCUGUUUGUUUUAGCUAUUUUAGUCAUCGUAAUAGUCAAUAUAUUGUCGUCAAUGGCUAGCUGUUGGCUUUCCAGCUGAGUUGAGUUGUGCAUAUGGCACUUGAAUAGCGUCUGCUCUUUAUUUGCUCUUUGGUGUUAUUUCUAAGUACGGACAUGUGAUGUGUUACCAUAUGUGGUUGUAAUGAAAACAUUUGUGUUGAGUCAAUAUUUUUUCCAAUUAAUUGGUUUAUAUUUAGAAAAUCAUGCAACUUGAAAAAAUAAAAUUUGCUGAAAAUAAUAUCAACAAAAAGAAAAAAAUAGUUUUCGAUUUUUCAAAUAGAUUUUGAAUUUAAUAAUUUUGCUAUAAAAUUAUAGCGUCCUACAAAAUUUGUAAUUUGCAAAAAUACUGCUUUCGAAUCUGCUUAAAUAACCUAAGCUUUGAAAAUUAUUGAAAUUCAGACUUGCUAUAAAAUUAUAGCAAACAAAAAAACAGUUAAACAGCCAAAAUUGUGUUUUAAAUAUGCUUAAAUAGCUUAAGCUUUGAAAAUUACUGAAUUUCUAUUUUGCUAUAAAAUUAUAGCAACCAGAAAAAUUGUGCUUAUGCUUAGAUUUACACUUGAGAAACAUUUUGGAAACUAAAAUAAUGUCUUUCGAAGCUUUUCUGAGACUUUUUCAGAGCAAUAAAAAAUAUUAAAGCAUAUAUAAUAUUACGUAUUAUAGGUAAUGAAAAGCAAAGGCAAGAUUAUUAUCGUUUAUUUAGAGAUUUAACUGAGUAAAGUUUAUUACUUCCACGAUUAUUUUAAACCUGAUAAAAAAAAAUUGUACAUACACAUAUGACGUAUGUAUGUAUCUUAUUGCAUGUUUGCCAUAAAAUGAUAAGCAACAUGUAUGCCACCAAAGAGAUAUAGACAGUCAUAAACAUUAUGCCGGUUAUUGUGCAAUUUUAAUUGUAUUUGUUUGAGCUAUCCA